GUUGAUGUGAGUCUGCCAGGCAUGGUGGUACACGCCUGUAAUCCCAGCUACUCAGGAGGCUGAGGCAGGAGGAUCUCUUGAGCCCAGGAGUUCAAGGCUGCAAUGAGCUAUGAUCACGCCACUGCACUCCAGCCUGGGUGACAGAGUGAGAGUCAAAACAAAACAAAAUAAAACAAACAAAAAGCCUGGUUAAGGUGAAUCUAACUGGGCUUUGGCUUACCUUCUCUUUUUUGGGAGGUAGAAGGUUUUUGGAAGGUAGAAGGAUGUAUUGCAAUGAUUCCCCAGCUUCAUUCACUAGCACACCACCUUCAUGAUUUUUGACGUGUCCACAUAUCAGUUGUACUAUUAUUUUCUUAAUUAGACUUUCUUAUUUUCUUAUCUUCACCUAUGAUAUUUUUUAAUGGAACCAUGGCUUUGCAAUACAUAUGAUGUUUUUUCAAAUAUACAUUAAAAUGCAAAACUAUUAAAAUAAUUUUUUUUUUACCACCUAAGAUUAUUUUAUGUGUACUACCUUAGGAAACAAUGUCAUGUAGGCUUUGGAAUCAGGCAGGCUUGUUCAGGUAAUACCUGUAUGUCCUUGGGCAAGCCACACUCUCUAACCUCCAAUAUUGUCAUAAUAAGUGUGUCUUCCUUAGGAUUUUGGUGAGGGCUAGAUGGGUCAGUUUGUGUGUGUGUGUCUGUGUGUGUGUUGCGUGUCUGUGUGUGUAGAUGUGGGUCUCACUGUGUUGCUCAGGCUGGUCUCAAACUUCUGGGCUCAAAUGAUCCUCCUGCCUCGGCCUUCCAAGUGCUGGAAUCACAGACGUAAGCCACUGCACCCAGCCCUAGAUGGGAUGAUUUAAACACUGUGUUUCAACUGCCUUGCACGUGGGUAACACCUAGUAAGUACUCAGUCACUGUUAACCAUUGCUGUUCCUGCAUUCUCUAUUUCUGCACUUUGUCUGCUUCUCUGUAUUUCCUUUCUUUCCUUUUUGGUCUGUUUGCAGCAGGAACCAGCAUGGAAUGGGUUUGCUUACUGGAGCAUAUGAAAUGUAUGUAAAGCCCUCAGGGACCAGGACAGAAAGCUAAGUGUGGUGCCUCUGCGGGGUCCGGGUGUGUAUAAUAGAAUCUAAUGAUGUGACUUGUUAUCCCAUCGUGCUUGUGUGGUUGAGAUAAUAACAUUGUUUCUAUAGAACCUGCUUUAAAGGGUCAAAGCCCUCAUGGACAUUAUCUAGCUCAUCUCUCUUAAGUGUGGACAAGUGUUAUCGUCCUCGUUUUUCAGGUGGAGAAAUCAAGACCCCAACAGAGGGCUGACCAGGUUACUCAGCAAUGCUGUGGCAGAAACACACAAAAGAGUCCGUGGCUUGUGAUUCACAGGCCAAGACGCUGCCUUGGCGCAGCACUCCCCGUGUUGACGUGGAAGGUGGUGAUGGCAGUGAGCAAAAAAGUGAUCCAUGCACAGAUGCAUUUGUGAACGCCGGAUGAAACAAAGUUAAAAUAGGACCCAGCGGAUGAAGUGGACUGAAACACUGAAUCUGAAACAUUGAUGAUCACUACAGCAAAGGGAAGAGCUCGGUAAAUUGUGCAUAUCGUUCUUAGAUCUUCCACCCAAAAGUAACACUUCCACUUACAUGUAUUGGCCACGGUAAGUCAUGUGGUUGUGCCUAACUUCAAAGAAUGUAAGGACAUACAAUCCUACCAUGUACUGGAAGGAAAUCCAGAAGAUUCCUUUUUUUUUUUUUUUUUUUUUGAGAUGGAGCCUUGCUCUGUCUCCAGGGUGGAGUGCAGUGGUGCGACCUCGGCUUACUGCAACCUCCGCCUCCGGGGUUCAAGUGAUUCCCCUGCCUCAGCCUCCCGACUAGCUGGGAUUACAGGCACACACCGCCACGUCUGGCUAAUUUUUUUUUGUAUUUUAGUAGACACAGGAUUUCACCAUGUUGGCCAGGAUGGUCUCUAUCUCCUGACCUUGUGAUCCACCUGCCUCGGCCUCCCAAAGUGCUGGGAUUACAGGUGUGAGCCACCACGCCUGGCCAGAAAGGCUCUUAAAGAGGCCUAAUGACUAUCACAGUCCCAGAACUGCUUCCCUCUCCCGCUAGAAGCAGCCACAUGAAUGUGACGUGUAUCUAGACCCUAUUUUAUAUUUUCACUACAAAUACACUGUAAUAGAGAUGGUAUUCAUUUGCAUAUUUUAGAAAAUAUUUGUUAAUGGGAUCAUCCUUUUAUAAUGUACAAUUUUUAGUCAAUAAUUUUCAGGACUUAUCAAUGCUGAAUCAUAUAGAUCUAGUUCAUUGAUUUAAACUGUUAUAUAGAAUUCCACAUUAGAAAUAUACUGUGAUUUAUUUAUCUAUUCUCCUACAAAUGAACAAACUAUUUACAAUUUUUUUUUUUUUGGGAUGGAGUCUCACCCUGUUGCUCAGGCUGGAGUGCAAUGGCGCAAUCUUGGCUCACUGCAACCUCCGCCUCCCGGGUUCAAGUGAUUCUCCUGCCUCAGCCUCCUGAGUAGCUGGGAUUACAGUCACGUGCCACCACGCCUGGCUAAUUUUUUUUUUGAGAUGGAGUCUCGCUCUGUCACCCAGGCUGGAGUGACACAAUUGUGCUGCAGUGGCACAAUCUCGGCUCACUGCAAGCUCCGCCUCCUGGGUUCACGCCAUUCUCCUGCCUCAGCCUCCCAAGUAGCUGGGACUACAGACGCCCGCCACCACGCCCUGCUACUUUUUUGUAUUUUUAGUAGAGAUGGGGGUUUCACCAAGUUCGGCAGGAUGGUCUUGAACUCCUGACCUUGUGAUCCGCUCACCUCGGCCUCCCAAAGUGCUGGGAUUACAGGUGUGAGCCACCGCGCCCAGCCGGACUAUGGACAUUUUCAAGUUUUCUAGAUAUUGUCAAGUUAUUCUCACAAAUGACCUUGUCAUUUACACUUCUGCCAGAUGUGCAUGAGAGUUCUCAUUUUCAUACCUCUUUGCCAACAUUUGCUAUUGUCAAACAUUUUACUUUUGGCCAGUUCCAUGGGUGUGAAAUUGUAUCUUAGUGUUGUUUUUAAAUUGUAUGUCCCUGGUUGCUAGUGAGUGGAGCCUUUUUUCAUAUUUGGUCAUUGAGUUUCUUUUUCUGCUGCAUGGUAUUGUUCAAAUUCUUUGCCCAUUUCUCUGCUGGGCUGUUCAUGUUUUUCCUUUUUUUUUUUCUUGAGACGGAGUUUCACUCUUGUUGCCCAGGCUGGAGUGCAAUGGCACGAUCUUGGCUCACUGCAACCUCUGCCUCCUGGGUUCAAGUGAUUCUCCUGCCUCAGCCUCCCAAGUAGCUGGGACUAUCACACCUGGCUAAUUUUUGUAUUUUUUGUAGAGGCGAGGUUUUGCCAUGUUGCCCAGGUUGGUCUUAGACUCCUGAGCUCAGGACUGUGCUUAACCCAACACAACAUUUUCCAGAUCUAGCCAUUCAAACAUUUCUUGCAAUUUAGGCAAGUACAGAAUACAUCCUCUGUUCAUGGAGGGGGUUACUUAGGGAUAGAAGGAAUAUAUAAAAUGAGUCUACAUAUUUUUUUAUUUCAAAUUUUUUUAAUUUAAAAAAGUUUUUUUUGUUUUUUUUUUUUUGUUUUAUUUUUUGUAGAGACAGGGUCUUGCUAUGUUGCCCAGGCUGGUGACAAAAUCCUGGGUUCAAGAGUCUAUAUAUAUAGACUCAUUUUCUAUAUUCCUUCUAUCCCUAAGUAACAGUUAUUGUUAUCCAAAGAUCAGCCGGUCCAAAUGCCCUUCUCACAGAGGGCUUCUUUGACCUAGAAGGCAAUGGAAGUGUUUAAAAUAAGCUGACCAGUUCCUUAAAUGAAACUGAAUUUAUGUUACUCUCUAACAGACCAAGGCUGAGCAGUCAAUGGUGCCCUGUGCUCAUGAAUGGACAGUAGUGUCUUGCAAAGGGACCAUGAGCUGAAAAGACAUUCUUAAGUGCAAAAAUAGUGUGGUAAUUAUAGGAGUAAGUGGAGAGUCAAUUUCUUCUUAAAACAUCAUCGUUAUUAAAAUAGACUAAGUGCAGGGGUGUUGGGAUUAUGACGUUGUUUACGGUAUUUUUUCCCUUCUCUAUUCUCCAAAUAUUCUGCAAUGAACUUACACUAUACUAAUAAUUCAAAAAUCAUAAUGAGAAGUAAAACCAAAAUGUAACCCACUGUGAUGAUAAGGAUUCUCAGUUUCUCAAGUAGAUGUUCAUCUCAAGCAGUAAAGGGGGCGGGGAAAAUUCCAAGGCAGAAAAGCAUAAGGGUCUUUCCCACUUGCAAGCUUUUCAAAGUCAAGUCGAAAGUGUUAGAAAACUGAAGCUUUACGUGGAAAAUGGGGGAGGACGUGGCCAGAUGCUGUGAUGGAAAAGCAUAAAGAGGAAGAACUGCUGAUGGAAGGAGAGGAACAGAAUGGACGAGGAAGGAAGAGGGAGGCUUGGCCAAGGGCAAGGGUAUCCUGGAAUAGGAGGUGUGUAUGCCUGGGGGAGCAAGGCAGCAAGGAACAGAGGAAAGAAUACAGGGAGAGUCGAUGUCCACGACUCACGUGGAAGCCGUGGCUCUGUCCUUUGCUAGUGUUUGGCCAUGGGCUCUUGGCGCAGCCUGGUCUGUGAAAUAAAGGGGUACGCAGGGUCGUCCUGUGACCCAUGUGUGACGACAUUAUAGGAAAACAUUUGGAGAACACAGAGGUUCUGUCCGCAGGUUACUUAGUCUUAAUGAGAAAAGGGCUUGACCUCAGCCUCUUGAAGAAGGUACAAAAAGAGAGAGAGAAAAGGGCACCAGAGGAGUGCUAGUAAAGAGCAGAAAGAGAAAAAAACUCCCAGCUGGGGCACAGUGGGAAGAGUGCAUGAGAGAACAGCGUCAGAGCCUCCAAACACAGGGGCCCACCCAUCGCCAUCCCUUCCUCAUUCACUGUGAGUGACCUGGGGUUACGUGCCUGCUGGGCCUCAGGAGACAGAUUUGGGGGGAACACCGGACAGGCACUGUAUGUAUCUAAAGUCUAAUCAUGUUUUUUUUUAAUUUCUUUUUCUUUUUCUUUCUUUUUUUUUUUUUUUUUUUUUUUUGAGAUGGAGUCUUGCUCUGUUGCCCAGGCUGGAGUGCAAUAGCACGAUCUCAGCUCACUGCAACCUCCGCCUCCCAGGUUCAUGCUAUUCUCCUGCCUCAGCCUCUCCAGUAGCUGGGAUUACAGCAUGCACCACCACAUCUGGCUAAUUUUUGUAUUCUUAGUAGAGGCGGGGUUUCACCAUGUUGGCCAGGCUGGUCUCAAACUCUUGACCUCAUGAUCCGCCUGCCUCGGCCUCCCAAAGUACUGGGAUUACAGGCAUGAGCCACCGCACCCGGCCCUCUUUUUCUUUUUCUUUUUCUUUCUUUUUUUUUUUUUUUGAAACAGAGUUUCACUUUUGUUGCCCAGGCUGGAGUGCAAUGGCCUGAUCUCAGCUCACCACAACCUCCGCCUCCUGGGUUCCAGUGAUUCUCCCAUCUCAACCUUCUGAGUAGCUGGAACUACAGGCAUGCGCCACCACGCCUGGCUAAUUUUUGUAUUUUUAGUAGAGACAGGGUUUCUCCAUGUUGGCCAGGCUGGUCUUAAACUCCCGACCUCAGGUGAUCUGCCCGCCUCAGCCUCCCAAAGUGCUCCGAAAGUGCUGGGUGCUGUGAGCCGCCGUUCCCGGCCUUUUUUUUUUUUUUUUUAGAGAUAAGGUCUGGCUCUGUCACCCAGAGUGCAGUGGCAUAAUCAUAGCUCACUAUAAUUUACCACCAUGCUCAGCUAAUUAUUUUUAUUUGUUUUUUGUAGUGACGGGGUCUUGCUAUGUUGCCCAGGCUGGUUUCAAACUCCUGGGCUCAAGUGAUCCUUUUGCCUUGUUCUCCCAAAAUGCUGGGAUGACAGGCCUGAGCCACCAUGCCCAGCCUGUUAUUUCUUAUUAAAUCUCUUUGCACAACAUUGGGAGAGCUUGCCAGCAAAGGGCAGCAAGUCAUCUAGAAAGACGCAUUUUGAUAGGUGGAAACUUAACACCAAACGAAGAGGGAUUUUUUUUCCUGCCCCAGUGGUCCUCACUUUCUGUGGCCUGAAGCUUGUGUCCCUUAGCUGCUUAAAUUCCCCAAGACUCAGCUGACUUCAGGGGUAAAUCACUACCUUGGUGCUCUCUCCCUCAUACACCUUGAAAGCUGAGGAUUGUGUUUUGGUUUUUUUCUCUCCCUAAAAGGUAGCUGUACUCUGUCUUCCUUUUAACCACAGUUCCCUAGAAAAUAAGAACUGUGACAAACAAAAGGAGAUGGGUACAAGAAUAGGCCUUACUCCUCUUCUCCCCCAGUUCCUCAGCCCCAGAUCCCAGGGACCCUAACCAUGGUUGCAGUUUUCGUUGAGGAAUUAAGGCCUACAAAGAAAAUCUAAUGCGCAGUAACCUAAGCUUGACUCUUGGCUUAGAAGUCCCAGCUUCAGGAAAAGCCUACCCAUUAGGUUCUUUCCUCAUUCUGUUGAGGUAGCUCUUAUGAGCUCUAUUUUACACACAUGGCUCCUCAGACUUAGAGAGAGUAAGUCAGUUUCCCAAAGUCUGCAGUGG
rnacentral:lncRNA from 10 species